rnacentral:rRNA from 1 species
CGGAUGCUGACGAGUGGCGAACGGGUGAGUAAUACAUCGGAACGUGCCCGAUCGUGGGGGAUAACGAAGCGAAAGCUUUGCUAAUACCGCAUACGAUCUACGGAUGAAAGCGGGGGAUCUUCGGACCUCGCGCGGACGGAGCGGCCGAUGGCAGAUUAGGUAGYUGGUGGGAUAAAAGCUUACCAAGCCGACGAUCUGUAGCUGGUCUGAGAGGAUGAUCAGCCACACUGGGACUGAGACACGGCCCAGACUCCUACGGGAGGCAGCAGUGGGGAAUUUUGGACAAUGGGCGCAAGCCUGAUCCAGCCAUGCCGCGUGCAGGAUGAAGGCCUUCGGGUUGUAAACUGCUUUUGUACGGAACGAAAAGGUGCCUUCUAAUAAAGGGCGCUCAUGACGGUACCGUAAGAAUAAGCACCGGCUAACUACGUGCCAGCAGCCGCGGUAAUACGUAGGGUGCGAGCGUUAAUCGGAAUUACUGGGCGUAAAGCGUGCGCAGGCGGUUUUGUAAGACAGAGGUGAAAUCCCCGGGCUCAACCUGGGAACUGCCUUUGUGACUGCAAGGCUGGAGUGCGGCAGAGGGGGAUGGAAUUCCGCGUGUAGCAGUGAAAUGCGUAGAUAUGCGGAGGAACACCGAUGGCGAAGGCAAUCCCCUGGGCCUGCACUGACGCUCAUGCACGGAAGCGUGGGGAGCAAACAGGAUUAGAUACCCU